UACGGGGGGAGCAAGCGUUGUUCGGAUUUACUGGGCGUAAAGGGCGCGUAGGCGGCCUGUUAAGUCUGAUGUGAAAUCCCCUCGCUCAACGAGGGAACUGCGUCGGAAACUGGCAGGCUCGAGUACCGGAGAGGAAGGUGGAAUUCCCGGUGUAGCGGUGAAAUGCGCAGAUAUCAGGAGGAACACCGGUGGCGAAGGCGGUCAUCCUGGGACCGUAUUGACCUG
rnacentral:rRNA from 1 species